rnacentral:rRNA from 1 species
GCGCUACCCCCAGCUAUACAUGCAGUCGAGCGAACAGAUGAGAAGCUUGCUUCUCUGAUGUUAGCGGCGGACGGGUGAGUAACACGUGGGUUUCCUACCUAUAAGACUGGGAUAACUCCGGGAAACCCCCCCUAAUACCGGAUAAUAUUUUGAACCGCAUGGUUCAAUAGUGAAAGACGGUUUCGGCUGUCACUUAUAGAUGGACCCGCGCCGUAUUAGCUAGUUGGUAAGGUAACGGCUUACCAAGGCGACGAUACGUAGCCGACCUGAGAGGGUGAUCGGCCACACUGGAACUGAGACACGGUCCAGACUCCUACGGGUCGCAGCAGUAGGGAAUCUUCCGCAAUCCCCGAAAGCCUGACGGAGCAACGCCGCGUGAGUGAUGAAGGUCUUCGGAUCGUAAAACUCUGUUGUUAGGGAAGAACAAAUUUGUUAGUAACUGAACAAGUCUUGACGGUACCUAACCAGAAAGCCACGGCUAACUACGUGCCAGCAGCCGCGGUAAUACGUAGGUGGCAAGCGUUAUCCGGAAUUAUUGGGCGUAAAGCGCGCGUAGGCGGUUUCUUAAGUCUGAUGUGAAAGCCCACGGCUCAACCGUGGAGGGUCAUUGGAAACUGGGAAACUUGAGUGCAGAAGAGGAGAGUGGAAUUCCAUGUGUAGCGGUGAAAUGCGGCAGAGAUAUGGAGGAACACCAGUGGCGAAGGCGGCUCUCUGGUCUGUAACUGACGCUGAUGNGCGAAAGCUUGGGGAUCAAACUGGAU